AUACGUAGGGUGCGAGCGUUGUCCGGAAUUACUGGGCGUAAAGAGCUCGUAGGUGGUUUGUCGCGUCGUCUGUGAAAUUCCGGGGCUUAACUCCGGGCGUGCAGGCGAUACGGGCAUAACUUGAGUACUGUAGGGGAGACUGGAAUUCCUGGUGUAGCGGUGAAAUGCGCAGAUAUUAGGAGGAACACCGGUGGCGAAGGCGGGUCUCUGGGCAGUAACUGACGCUGAGGCGCGAAAGCGUGGGGAGCAAACAGGAUUAGAUACCCUGGUAGUCCAUGCCGUAAACGGUGGGCGCUAGGUGUAGGGGUCUUCCACGACUUCUGUGCCGUAGCUAACGCAUUAAGCGCCCCGCCUGGGGAGUACGGCCGCAAGGCUAAAACUCAAAUGAAUUGACGGGG
rnacentral:rRNA from 1 species